AGAUUGAACGCUGGCGGCAUGCCUAACACAUGCAAGUCGAACGGGAGUAGCAAUACUCUAGUGGCGGACGGGUGAGGAAUACGUAGGAAUUUGCCCUUAAGUGGGGGAUAACCCGGGGAAACCCGGAUUAAUACCGCAUGACCUCGAAAGAGCAAAGUGGGGGAUCGCAAGACCUCACGCUUUUGGAGAAGCCUACGUCGGAUUAGCUAGUUGGUGAGGUAAUGGCUCACCAAGGCGACGAUCCGUAACUGGUCUGAGAGGAUGAUCAGUCACACCGGAACUGAGACACGGUCCGGACUCCUACGGGAGGCAGCAGUGGGGAAUAGUUGGACAAGUGGGCGCAAGCCUGAUCCAGCAAUGCCGCGUGUGUGAAGAAGGCCUUCGGGUAGUAAGACUACUUUAAGGUUAGGUAAAGGAAAAACGUACGACGUACUAACAACAGUAGAGUCGUUGACGGUACCGACGAAGAAGUAAGACGACCGGACUAACUCUAGUCGACCGACGACGACGCCGACGGUAAC
rnacentral:rRNA from 1 species